rnacentral:rRNA from 1 species
UACAGAGGUCCCAAGCGUUGUUCGGAUUCACUGGGCGUAAAGGGUGCGCAGGUGGUUUGGCAAGUUUGACGUGAAAGCCCCGGGCUUAACCCGGGAAUGGCGUUGAAAACUGCUUGAACUGGAGGAUUGGAGGGGGGACUGGAAUUCUUGGUGUAGCAGUGAAAUGCGUAGAUAUCAAGAGGAACACCAGUGGCGAAGGCGAGUCCCUGGACAAUACCUGACACUGAGGCACGAAAGCCAAGGGAGCAAA